GGCUCGGUGGCUGAGUGGUAAAGCGCAUGGUUUCUACACUGUGUAUCCCGGGUUCGAAUCCUGGUGAAGACU
rnacentral:tRNA from 1 species